UGCUGGUCGCCAAGGAGACGACUGACAAUUUCCAGUUGCCAAGCCUCACCCUGGAGCUCUACAGAGACAUUAUGGAAACUCCCCACUCCUUCCUGCUCCUCAGCCAGGGAACUUGGAGAAUCUAGCCAGGUUGGGUGGAGGGCACUGGGAGGGGAUAGAGAGGAGGUGACAAGCCUGAAGAUGGAGAGAGCAGCUAGAAGUUUCCCUGGGCCCUGGCUUCCCCAACAGACCUCAAAAGUCUGGCCCACCCUUGAAGGCUAGGGCUGGCCUGGUGGGCAUCCCCUGUGCUGGGUCCAGACAGACUCCUACCAGGGACCUCCAACCAGACCCUCAACUACAGAGAACUGUCCCUAUAUUGUCAUUCCCGGCCUGGUAGCAGCACUGUUGCCAGAUGGGGCAGAACCCAGGAAGAACCUGGGAACUGAAGGGCUAGGAGUCUUUCCUGGGGGAAGGAACUGCAGCUGUCCUGAGCACUUUGCUCAUAUCAGACAGCACUCAAAUGCACUGAGGCCUAGUGUCACAGCCCGGGAAACAGCAACAACAGCAACGCUAAUAAUAAUAAUCGUAGUGGUGCAGUAGGUGUGACUCUUACUCUAUAAACUUAGGUGCACAAAAAUAUCCAUUUCUCUAUUUCACUAAAAUCAAGUAGAGUUGAGUUCAUUCCUGGGGCUCCUGCCUUUUUCCAGCGUCCCACCAGAACCCGGGGGCUUAUUGCUAUGGUUUAAAUGUGUCCCCAAAAUUCAGGUGUUGCCAGUGUGGUAGUAUUAAGAGAUGGGGUCUCCAAGAGGUGGUUGGGCCACGAGGGCUCCUCCCCUGUGAAUGGGAGUAGCUGCCCUUAUAAAAGGGCUUGACAAAGGGAGUUUAUCCCUUUUUGCCCUUCUGCCUUCCACUAUGUGGGGACAUGGCCUUCGUCUCCUCUGGAAGAUGCAGUGACAAGGCGCCAUCUUGGAAGACAACAGCUCUCACCAGACACCGGACCUGCUGGAGCCCCGGUCUUGGACUUCCCAGUCUCCAGAACUAUGAGGCCACAAGAUGGAGACGGAGCGGGUUGCUCACCCAAGUUCAUGCAGCGCCCAUCUGACGUUCCCCCGGGAGGAGCUGCAGGGCCUUCUUUCGAGGAGGUGGCAGAGGGGCUUCCUGCGUGCAAAGGAGGGUCCCACCAGCCCUUUUGGAACCUCAGCCUGGUCCUCCAGAAUUUCACCUCAAACUACUGGAGUCUAGGAAAACCAUUAAAGGAAGAAAUUGAAGCUUAGAGAAGUUCUGUAAGAUGCUGAGGUCACA
rnacentral:lncRNA from 1 species